rnacentral:rRNA from 1 species
AAAUGUGGUCAAACCUCCUUGUCAAAGCCUGCUCUCGUCAGAUCUUAGAAGCUAGGCAUGACUGGGCUUGGUUAGUAUUUGGAUGGGAGACUGCUGGGAAUACCAGGUGCCAGAGUGG